rnacentral:rRNA from 1 species
GAUGAACGCUGGCGGCGUGCCUAAUACAUGCAAGUCGAGCGAACAGACGAGGAUCUUGCUCCUCUGACGUUAGCGGCGGACGGGUGAGUAACACGUGGAUAACCUACCUAUAAGACUGGUAUAACUUCGGAAAACCGGAGCUAAUACCGUAUAAUAUAUUGAACCGCAUGGUUCAAUAGUGAAAUACGGUUUUGCUGUCACUUAUAGAUGGAUCCGCGCCGCAUUAGCUAGUUGGUAAGGUAACGGCUUACCAAGGCAACGAUGCGUAGACGACCUGAGAGGGUGAUCGGCCACCCUGGAACUGAGACACGGUCAAGACGCCUACGGGAGGCAGCAGUAGGGAAUCUUACGCAAUGGGCGAAAGCCUGACGGAGCAACGCCGCGUGAGUGAUGAAGGUCUUCGGAUCGUAAAACUCUGUUAUUAGGGAAGAACAAAUGUGUAAGUAACUAUGCACGUCUUGACGGUACCUAAUAAGAAAGCCCCGGCUAACUACGUG